rnacentral:rRNA from 1 species
UACGUAGGGACCAAGCGUUGUUCGGAUUUACUGGGCGUAAAGGGCGCGUAGGCGGCAAUUCAAGUCAUCUGUGAAAUCUCCGGGCUUAACUCGGAACGGUCAGGUGAUACUGUUUUGCUAGAGUGCGGAAGGGGCAAUCGGAAUUCUUGGUGUAGCGGUGAAAUGCGUAGAUAUCAAGAGGAACACCUGAGGCGAAGACGGGUUGCUGGGCCGACACUGACGCUGACAGCGCGAAAGCCAGGGGAGCAAACGGG